GACGAACGCUGGCGGCGUGCCUAAUACAUGCAAGUAGAACGCUGAAGGAGGAGCUUGCUUCUCCGGAUGAGUUGCGAACGGGUGAGUAACGCGUAGGUAACCUGCCUGGUAGCGGGGGAUAACUAUUGGAAACGAUAGCUAAUACCGCAUAACAGUAGAUAUUGCAUGAUAUCUGCUUGAAAGGUGCAAUUGCAUCACUACCAGAUGGACCUGCGUUGUAUUAGCUAGUUGGUGAGGUAACGGCUCACCAAGGCGACGAUACAUAGCCGACCUGAGAGGGUGAUCGGCCACACUGGGACUGAGACACGGCCCAGACUCCUACGGGAGGCAGCAGUAGGGAAUCUUCGGCAAUGGACGGAAGUCUGACCGAGCAACGCCGCGUGAGUGAAGAAGGUUUUCGGAUCGUAAAGCUCUGUUGUAAGAGAAGAACGAGUGUGAGAGUGGAAAGUUCACACUGUGACGGUAUCUUACCAGAAAGGGACGGCUAACUACGUGCCAGCAGCCGCGGUAAUACGUAGGUCCCGAGCGUUGUCCGGAUUUAUUGGGCGUAAAGCGAGCGCAGGCGGUUAGAUAAGUCUGAAGUUAAAGGCUGUGGCUUAACCAUAGUACGCUUUGGAAACUGUUUAACUUGAGUGCAAGAGGGGAGAGUGGAAUUCCAUGUGUAGCGGUGAAGUGCGUAGAUAUAUGGAGGAACACCGGUGGCGAAAGCGGCUCUCUGGCUUGUAACUGACGCUGAGGCUCGAAAGCGUGGGGAGCAAACAGG
rnacentral:rRNA from 1 species